rnacentral:lncRNA from 1 species
AGUAGGAAUUUUACAAGAAUUGUUUUCUUUUUCUUUAUCAGUUGAAUUAUUAGAAAAUAUUGGCUUUUGUGUGUGUGUGUGUGUUUUUUUUAAAGUAGUGAUCCUGGCGUACAUAGGAAGGAAGUAAAGAAAAAGGACACUAGCAAAUGGACACCAGAAGAAUGUGUGAUUGCACCAAUAUUUGAAAAGACCAAUUCACUGACUGGUGGUCUGCUGCAUGUUAAUGAUGACAGCAUUUUAAGUGAAGUGGAUCAGGAUGAUGACAGGCCUGCAAAGAAAACAUCUAAUGAAAAUAACAAGAUUCUGUUAGCUUGUUGAAAAUCUGGGAUGUGAUUCUUUCGUAUGACGGAUUAAUAGAACUUAAAAAAAGGCCACUGUGAACUGCUUAGAGGAAAGAUUAAAAAAUGGAAAGUAAGGUUCGUGGGCUACAGAAAGAGCUGUCAGAAACCAAAGAAGUAAAAUCACAGUUAGAGCAUCAGAAAGUGGAGUGGGAACGAGAGCUCGGCAGUUUGAGAUUCACCUUAAAGCGAGAAGAAGAGCAGAGAAGAAAUGCUGAUAUGAAAAAAUUAGGGAGUAGUUAAGAAAAAAAGACCAAUAUAGUAAAGAAGUUGAAAUGAAACAGCAACUUGAACUCACUCUCAGAGCACUAGAAAUGGAACUGAAGACUGUGAGAAAUGAUCUGAAUCAGGUAGAGCA